rnacentral:tRNA from 1 species
AAAGGGAGACCUAAUUCCAGUAGGAGACGAAAAAAAAGUAGUCCCUACCAAGAAUCAAUCCCAAAAGGUCGGAGCGAGGCAAAAUUGGCUUUCAAACUAGGUUCUGGGUUCACCCAAGACCUGAAUCAGGAACAAGGGCUAUUAGCUCAGGUGGUUAGAGCGCACCCCUGAUAAGGGUGAGGUCCCUGGUUCGAGUCCAGGAUGGCCCACCUGCACAGGUGGCAAAAACAAGAGAAGCGAGGAAUCAGCACCUUAUCUUACUGACAUAGUAAGAGAGAAUGCUGGCUCUGAGUAAAGAGUCCAGAGGAACCUUGAAAACUGCAUAGAGCUAGGUGAAAAAGCCAAAAAAGAAGACCGCAAG